UUGGCGUUAGGGUUAAAAUCACUGUCCAAAACCUUUGUAGGAACUCUUUUCCAACCUUUUGGGGUUAGUUAGACCAGAAAAAAAGUGAAAAAUGAAAAAAAAAAUAUUUGGGGUUUUCGGGCUUUCUGAAGGUAACACCCGGGUAUUAGGUUUUGGGGCUAGGGUAAGGUUUAAGUUUUUUGGUGUUAGGGUUAAAAUCACUGUCCAAAACCUUUUUAGGAACAUUUUUCAGACCUUAUGGAGUUAGUUACACCAAAAAAAAAAUGAAAAAUGAAAAAAACAUAUUUGGGGUGUUCGGGCUUCCUGAAGGUAAUACCCGGGUAUUAGGUUAUGGGGCUAGGGUAAGGUUUUUGGCGUUAGGGUUAAAAUCACUGUCCAAAACCUUUGUAGGAACUCUUUUCCAACCUUUUGGAGUUAGUAACACCAAAAAAAAAAAUUGUAAAAUGAAAAAGAAAUAUUUGGGGUGUUCGGGCUUCCUGAAGGUAAUACCCGGGUAUAAGGUUAUGGGACUAAUGUAAGGUUUAAGGUUUUUGGCGUUAGGGUUAAAAUCACUGUCAAAACCUUUGUAGGAACUCUUUUCCAACCUUUUGGAGUUAGUUAGACCAAAAAAAAAAAAAAAGGAACAAGAAAUAUUUGGGGUGUUCGGGCUUCCUGAAGGUAAUAGCCGGGUAUUAGGUCAUGGGGCUAGGGUAAGGUUAAAGGUUUUUGGCGUUAGGGUUAAAAUCACUGUCCAAAACCUUUGUAGGAACUCUUUUCCAACUUUUGGAGUUAGUUACACCAAAAAAAAAAAAAAAAUGAAAAAAAAAUAUUUGGGGUGUUCGGUCUUCCUGAAGGUUAUACCCGGGUAUUAGGUUAUGGGGCUAGGGUAAGGUUUUUGGCGUUAGGGUUAAAAUCACUGUCCAAAACCUUUGUAGGAACUCUUUUCCAACCUUUUGGAGUUAGUUAGACCAGAAAAAAAUGAAAAAUGAAAAAAAAAUAUUUGGGGUUUUGGGUCUUUCUGAAGGUAACACCCGGGUAUUAGGUUUUGGGGCUAGGGUAAGGUUUAAGGUUUUUGGCGUUAGGGUAAAAAUCACUGUCCAAAACCUUUGUAGGAACUCCUUUCCAACCUUUUGGAGUUAGUUAAACCAAAAAAAAAAUUGAAAUAUGAAAAAGAAAUAUUUGGGGUGUUCGGGCUUCCUGAAGGUAAUACCCAGGUAUUAGGUUAUGGGGCUUUGGUAAGGUUUAAGGUUUUUGGCAUUAUGGUUAAAAUCACUGUCCAAAACCUUUGUAGGAACUCUUUUCCAACCUUUUGGAGUUAGUUAGACCUAAAAAAAACGAAAAGUGAAAAAAAAAUAUUUGGGGUGUUCGGGCUUCCUGAUGGUAAUAUGGGGCUAGGGUAAGGUUUAAGGUUUUGGCGUUAGGGUUAAAAUCACUGUCCAAAACCUUUGUAGGAACUCUUUUCCAACCU